rnacentral:rRNA from 1 species
UCGCGGCCUAUCAGCUUGUUGGGRGGUAGUGGCCCACCAAGGCGACGACGGGUAGCCGGCCUGAGAGGGCGACCGGCCACACUGGGACUGAGACACGGCCCAGACUCCUACGGGAGGCAGCAGUGGGGAAUAUUGCUCAAUGGGCGCAAGCCUGAAGCAGCGACGCCGCGUGAGGGAUGAAGGCCUUCGGGUUGUAAACCUCUUUCAGUAGGGACGAAGCGAGAGUGACGGUACCUACAGAAGAAGCACCGGCCAACUACGUGCCAGCAGCCGCGGUAAUACGUAGGGUGCAAGCGUUGUCCGGAAUUAUUGGGCGUAAAGAGCUCGUAGGCGGUUUGUCACGUCGGCUGUGAAAUCCCGAGGCUCAACCUCGGGUCUGCAGUCGAUACGGGCAGACUAGAGUACUGCAGGGGAGACUGGAAUUCCUGGUGUAGCGGUGGAAUGCGCAGAUAUCAGGAGGAACACCGGUGGCGAAGGCGGGUCUCUGGGCAGUAACUGACGCUGAGGAGCGAAAGCGUGGGGAGCGAACAGGAUUAGAUACUCUGGUAGUCCGCGCCGUAAACGGUGGGCGCUAGGUGUGGGGACCAUUCCACGGUCUCUGUGCCGCAGCUAACGCAUUAAGCGCCCCGCCUGGGGAGUACGGA